ensembl:lncRNA
UGUUGAACAGUUCUGAAGGAAAGGGGCAUCACACAGAGACAUAUUUCACAUGAAAUUACAGCCUCAUUCCUCUCCCCUUUCACUUUUCCAUUUAUCAGUUCUAUCCUCCUGCUCUCCCCCCCCACACGCCCCUGGAAUUAUUGAUGAUUAUGAAAGAGCAUGAAGUCUUCAUAAUAAGGAACAUUUUCGUCCAUUAUCUGGAGAAUAAUAUGGUUUAUUCAAUACAUUCCCUCGGAGAAAAAAAAAAAAGAAAGAAAAAAAAGAAACCCCAAAACGUUUAGGUCUGCUGUAAAUAGAUGCUUUUUUCCCAGGACAACAGAUUGCGCUGAACGACUCAGUUUUCUUUUGGGAUUAUAAAGGUACAGAACAGUUCUGUCUGGGGAUGGUGGUUUUCCUUGAGGCAAAUGCUGACCAACACGUGGUGCCCGCUGCUGGUGUUAACAGGAGUAGACACCGUUCCCCGUUGGGCCCUUCCCUAGCAGAGCCCUCAGCAGCCUCUGCAAGCAGAGGGAAGUGAGGAAGCUUCAGUUUGCGUGCUGCAGAGGUAUGGAGCUGUCCUACCCCGAACCCGGCUGAGGAGGAAGGCCGCAUUCCCACGCAGUGGGACAGCAGAGCGGGAGGCCGUAGGAGAACCUUAGCAACGACGGCACGGUCCCCUUCUUACCGCUCCUCAGAAACGAGAGAAGCAAUUGCACAGCAGCCUCGCCUGUCCGUGAGAGGUACUGCAUGAGAAGCACGCAAGAGUGGAGCGACCUCAGUCAGCUCGGUAUAAUGAGGUGAUGAGCUGAGGAAUAAAAAGGAAGAGAAUGGGCAGGAACGGAUUCCUCUGUGAAUGAGCGGCGUUGCGGUGCAACCCUUCCUCACCUUUGCCUACCACAUGGCAGGACAACAUAACAUAGAAAGCCGGUUCUUGAAGCAAGAUGAGCACUGACAGCUAAUUCAAUUACUUCUUGAUUAGUGAUACAAGACAAGGAAGAAAUUAAAACUAACACAACAUUAAUGAGCAGCAGCAGAAAAUUCACUUAAAGGCUUUCCUGGGAGAAGCCUUUGGAAGACCCCGAUGACACAAGGAAUGAAGGGGAACGUCAGUGCUGUUCCCCCAAGUGGACCUGACACAGUGGGAUUGGCUGUGCGCUGAAACACUCACCUGAGCUGAUCUUGUUCAGGCUGCAGCCCGCGCUAUGUGCAGACAACACCAAGCUGAGUGUUUCAGUGGUGCAACAGAGGAAGGGAUGUCAUCCAGAGGAACCUGGAAAUGCCUGAGAAGUGAGCCCGUGUGAACCUACAAGGUUCAACAAGGCCAAGUGCAUGCUGUCGCGCUUGGGUCAGUGCAAUCCCAGAUAUGUGUACAGACUGAGAGAAGAACUCCUUGAGAGCAGCCCUGUGGACGAGGACAUGGGGGUCCUGGCGGACCAAAAGCUUGACAUGAGCCAGCAGUGUGCAGUUGCAGCCCAGAAGGCCAACUGUGUCCCGGGGUGCAUCAACAGGGGCCAGGUUGGAUGGAGCCCCAGGCAGCCUGAGCUGUUGGGGAGGAACCUGCCCAUAGCCAGGGAUGGGACUGUGUGGGCUUUAAGGUCCUUUCCAAUCCAAGCCAUUCUAUAAUUCUAUGAAGUUUCAGUGCCUCUACAUGUAGCAGGAUACCCUGCAUAGGUAUCCUAUGCACGUCUCCAUAGGUCUGUGCACAUCUGCUCUCUUUGGCACAUUCAGCAUCACCUCUGUUGCUCAAGGCAGUGCCUGCAAUAUGAUUUCUCAUGUGCCUCAGCUUUAUGUGCCCAGCACCACAUACUACACAGGGUGUCACACCAUGACCAUUGUCUCUCCUAUUCCUGUCUGUAGAGUCACCCUGCAGUGUCCUCUCUCUGCUGCAGAGCGUGGCCAUGGCCCCAGUACCAGGAAUGUUCCACUCCUGUGCAAACAGCGCUGCCUUCCAUGUCUGCUAGUGAUCCUGAUGAUACUGCAUCCAUUUCUAGGGGUCAGAGAAGCAAUCAGACAAUUUAAGAAAUAAUUACUGCUUACCGGUUUCUGCAAAGGAAUGAGACAUUCGUUAUAAGGUAAUUAUGGGAGGGACUUUUUCAUGACUUUUGUUGAAGGAACAGCAAUAAUUAAUCAUAAAGGAGAGGUCCCAGUCCACCCCUCCACGUUACCUGACUCUCCGACUACAGUUCCAAGCUACAAAUACCAAGUUAGAAUAAAUUAGUUCUGCCUAUUUUCAGUACAAGACAGUAUAUUUCCUCUUACAAAAAAUAGUUUUAAAACCCUCCUGGAGCAAAUGAGUUGAGGAAGAAGCCAGGUCUGUGGUGGAGGACAUAGACCUCUUCCAACAGCUAUGAACACCUGCUCCUUUUUGGAGAGUUGUGUAAUUUUCCUGAGUGCAAAUUCCCCAAUUAAGAAAAAAGAAAUGCAAAGAGUGACACUUCAUCAUCUCAUACAGGUAGAUGAAAAUCAAAACACCAGUGCCUCAGGGAAGCACUGAUCUCUGGUAUACACCAUCAAUAGAUAGCUAAAGACUAAACUGACAGUUAACUCAGAAAUUUGCUUAUUACUGAAGUGUUGGCUUAGGAUUAACCAAGUUAAGCUGCAGCACUGCAUACGAGUCCAAAUGCUUUGCUGUAUAUGCAUUCACAAGGAGCUUUGCUGGCUACAGAAAGGUUUAAUCAAAUACACCGAGGGUUCCCAAAACGUUCGAACAGAUACUUAGGCAGAACAUUCCUUCUACUAACUGUGCAUUUAGUUGUGGUGAGCUAAAUGCAGUGUUGCUGCAAAAAGUAGAGUUAUAAAAAAUACAGAAAGGCAUUCUUUUCUACCAUUUACAAUUGCGCAUGCACAGAAGCAGUUUACCUAAGUGGGGUAGCAUUCAUCUAGCUGUCCAUUCACAGCAUAUAAUGUUGUUAUCUUCACCACAACUAAAUGAUGCUGCAAAGUGUGAUUCUGGAUAAAGAGCAGUGGGGAAAGCUGUUGAACCCUACAAAAAUAAUCAUUCUGGAAAUAUGAAAAUGUGUCUUCUAUCACAGGCAAAAUAUAAUAAAGAAUACUUGCAGCCGGAUCAGUGGACAGUGAAAAGGAUUUUGCAGUUUGCCACAUAAUACUGCAGCCUGAAAUACUUCAGCAAUCAGAGCAGGAAGGUGUCUCCUGGUGCCACGCUCAGAGUCAUGCACGUACUCCUCCAGUUAGUAGCUGAAGAGCCAAGUACAUCAUUGAUUGAGGGGCCUUGAGCACCAGAGCAUGUUUCAAAUGAAAAGCUCUACACCCUGCCUCAAGAAUGUGUUUUUCUCUAGUGGCAAUUUGAGACACCCCACAUCCUUCAGUACUGUGCAGCUCUGCUCUCUUAGUGUUCUCUAACAUUACCAUAAACUUGGCUUGAAAAGAGACCCCUUUAAUCAAAGCUUACUUAACAACUGGGCUUUUGGAAUUAGGGGAUUGCCAAAGGACACAACUUAGUGUGACAAUGGUGAAUAGAAAUGACUUUGGCUUAAUGAGAAGUAUAAAUUCUGAUCCACAAGGAAACAACCACCUUGUGCCAACUGGGUAAGCAGAGCUUACACAGACAUUCAACACAUAUGAAAGUCUCAAAUCCAAUCUUUGAAUUACAAAAUUAUCAUAGAAAUGGAGAUGCACAGGUAAAUAUGACUGCUUCAUGCAAUGUCAUGGAUUAUUUUUUUGGUUAAGCCUUUGAAGCACAAUUUUGAGCAACACCUUUUGAUUGGGCUCCUCUACUAUUUAAAUGGUUUGCAUAUUGGUUGAAGAAGCCUGAUCAGUGUUGAGCUGUCACUGCCAUGUCCUCAUGACGUGUUGCAGACAAGUGUUCCAGUAGCUUCCAUGGCAAAGAACGUGCCAGCAGCAUCUCUUGCCAACACAAGUGAGGUCCUGCUCAGGCCACAUGGUGCCAUGCACUGCAGUCAUUCUGCAUGUAGACCUUGUAGGCUUCACGAGCUCUUUAAGGAACAGCAUUUCCUAGCAAAGCACAUUCGUAACUCUCCCAGAAACAAGGGUUCCAGUAUGACUCUGGUCAAAACCUGGUCCAAAGGAAGGUAUGCUUAUUUAUAUUCUGGAGACAGAUUUGAGCCCUCAGUAUCUUAUUUCCCAUAUUAACUUCAACAAAGCGUGCAUUUUCCAAGGCUUGCUAAUGAGCCCAGCAUACUUAGGAAAAAAUUUGAAAUAUACAAACAAACUCACUGUCAGAUGGGUUUUUCCAAGGCCUGGACUGAAGCUCAGGGAAGUAGGAAAUAAAUGUUAUGUCCCUCCAAAUCUCUUACAAACUCUGACGAAGAAAAAAGAAAAAGCAACCUGAUUCUCAGGCCAAAUCUCCCAGCUGCUUUUGCAAUUCAUGACGGGUCUGGCUGAAGAGUCGGUUCAUUUUUCUAAAUCCAGUUCCUUCUCACAAAAAAAAAAUGUUAUUUAAUAACAUUCAAAUCCUGCUUAUUUUGAGCUUAAAAAACAAACUUGGUUAUAAGACAGUGCCUUUCCCUGCAACGCACUUUCACUCAUACGUGAAAACACCACUUUGAUGUUUCUUUUGGAAACAGCACGACUCUGCCAGAAGCAGAGCUGUUACUCAGAGAUCAAGACGUUUGAGAAGAAAAUUAUCUAAUAAAGGUAGAAUGAUAAGGAAAGUAAAAUGCUGGUGAUCAGUGAAACUGCCAAAGCGUGCAAGGCAGUAAAGCUCUAGGAACUACGUGUCAGAAUACAACCGAUGGGUGAGCAACCAGCGCAAGCUCCAAGUGCCAAAACAUACAAGUGUCAGUUUUUGAAGGAUAUAUUUCACCAUCUAUCCUGUGUUUCAUCAGUGCUAACCAGCACUGAAUUCUCAAGGACUCUUCUACCUUCUUGCAGGUGUAGCAUUUUCAGCAAUUCUCUACCUAGCAAACGUUUCUGUUUCCUUUACAAAUAACAGGGAUUUUGUACCUAGGCUGUUGUAAGCAGAAAUCAGAAAGCAUUUCUGCACACAGCUCUUCAUGCAGUUGUGUAACUCUGGGUUCGAAUACACGUGUAAGCUGUAAUCCAACUCCUCUGAGCAUGUCCUUCUUGCUGUUCGAUUUUUCCUGUCAAAACACACAAAAAUAACCAUAUAGGAACCGAAUGUGUUUCUCAGAAAUGCAUAUGCUAGGUUUGCCACAAAGCCUUUUUCCACUCCCAAGAUCCAUUACUCAAAAUAGCUGUAGCUCUGAAGUACUGCCAAAAGACUGGCAAGUCACAAAGCAGCUUUCAUAUGUGCUCCGUUUCUCACCUCCCAAGUGAGGGUGAAGGGGUCUGGAGAGGUCCUGCGCAGAUCAAACCUUUUUUCUGCCACAGGUAGCAGAAUCCUGUCUGUAUGCGGCUUCUUCUCAUAAUAAGCUCAUCUGUAAGUACGCUGCCUGUGCUGAAAAGGAGUAAAUAUUAGAACUGCUGACAUUUUAUAAACUUCAGCUGAAGGAAUGGGCCUCAGGCAGGGUAUCUGUAAUGCCACUGCUUACAAGGAGACAGCCACUCUCAGCUCGCAGACAAGUGCACACAGUUUUGGUUGGUGAAAACUUAGGGAACAAGUUAGAACGCAUUACAUUAAAUCACACCAGCAUUUGCAAACUGUUCGUGAAAGGAGAAGCCUACUAAGGCCAAACUGAGUCACCUGAAAUGGGACUUGUCACCAGACAAGCAGGCUUAGAUGAAAACUUGCUUCAUCAGACUAAGUUCUCUGGCUAGACAUUGUUCCAUGCUUCCUGAGCAUGUCCUCACUUUCCAACAUGCAGCACAGCCACAGUCACCUUCCUGUUCUCUUCCAUGAACAUGAGACAAGAGGCCUCCUUGGUAAGCCAGGCAUUUGGAGACUGAAGGGAGGAUGGAGACAGCAUGGACUCCAUCACGCAGCAAACCUUCCUAGGUGUCCCAGAGUGCCACACCACGGCACGAUGUGAGCCAGGUGCCAUCCAACACAUGCAGGAACACGUCAUCCUGAGGGAGGGAAACAGCAGCAACCUGGAGCUCAGCAGCUCACGUCGCCUCUCCUCAGAAGCCAGUUCUGUGGUAUUUCAGGGAACAGGGCUCCAAGCCAAGCCCCAGAUCUAUGGGACGAUGAGGACUUUGAGAAUUCCAGAGUUUGCCGCUCCAAAAAUACACUGUUUGACCAGCCUACUGUCAGAGCGAUUCCUACUAAAACAAACAUUUAACAUGUGCAAAUACUAAAAGAUGAAUUUCCUGUUUGAACAGUCAGCACAACAGAAUAUUGCCAAAAGAAUCAUUGCAACAUCUGUCAAUGUAACCAACCAGCUACCAGUCAGAAAACAGGACAGCCACAGUUUGUCAUCAAGAGGAAGAAGGAACGUCCCAGCAAAGACUUCCUAUAUCCAAACUAGCCCACACAGACAAAUGGAGGAUAGGGUGCAAGCAAGACGGUCACUGGCAUCUCCUGCCCUUCCCUUUGUAGCCAAGUUAGCCAACAACCAGCUGAGCAGUGAAAGAACCUUUGGUAUGCGGCUGGAGGAGCACAGGAAAGCAGGAAAGGAACCAUCCUCUGAGCAGGGAUGAGUUUCAGCCUCGUUCUACCACCAUGGCUCUGCCCUCCCCAGGUUUACACCAAGUGCUUAUGAUCACAGUGCCACAUGUCCACAACAGAUAUGCAAAGAUGUUGCAGUGAUGGCAAUGACAAGUGACUAAUAUCAACAAGAUACCUGGCUGCCAUUUCUUUUUAUAUAAAUACUUCCCAUGUCUUUGCUCAUUUUCUUAGCAUCCACAUCAUUUGAAUAGAUGCAAGUCAUUAAUGGGGCAGAUCACAAGCUUUUCAUCUGUGACCAAAGUUUUUAAAAGCAAGAACGACAAAACAACACAGUACUUUGAAUGAACUGACAAUAAAAAUCAUUACAAGCUCACAGCAAGUUGAAAUACUUUGUUUCAUUUUUAACAGUUUUUAAUAAAAAAGGCUACCAGACCAACCAAACAAGGGCAGGACAGUG